rnacentral:rRNA from 1 species
UUAGAGUUUGAUCCUUGCUCAGGAUGAACGCUAGCGGCAGGCUUAACACAUGCAAGUCGAGGGGCAGCGAGAUCAGUGCUUGCACUGAUUGUCGGCGACCGGCGCACGGGUGCGUAACGCGUAUGCAACCUACCCAUUACAGGGGGAUAACACUGAGAAAUCGGUACUAAUACCCCAUAACAUCCAGGGAGGCAUCUUCUUGGGUUGAAAACUCCGGUGGUAAUGGAUGGGCAUGCGUUGUAUUAGUUAGUUGGUGGGGUAACGGCUCACCAAGACAACGAUACAUAGGGGGACUGAGAGGUUAACCCCCCACAUUGGUACUGAGACACGGACCAAACUCCUACGGGAGGCAGCAGUGAGGAAUAUUGGUCAAUGGACGCAAGUCUGAACCAGCCAUGCCGCGUGCAGGAAGACGGCUCUAUGAGUUGUAAACUGCUUUUGUACGAGGGUAAACGCAGAUACGCGUAUCUGUCUGAAAGUAUCGUACGAAUAAGGAUCGGCUAACUCCGUGCCAGCAGCCGCGGUAAUACGGAGGAUUCAAGCGUUAUCCGGAUUUAUUGGGUUUAAAGGGUGCGUAGGCGGUCGGAUAAGUUAGAGGUGAAAUCCCGGGGCUCAACUUCGGAAUUGCCUCUGAUACUGUUCGGCUAGAGAGUAGUUGCGGUAGGCGGAAUGUAUGGUGUAGCGGUGAAAUGCUUAGAGAUCAUACAGAACACCGAUUGCGAAGGCAGCUUACCAAGCUACUUCUGACGUUGAGGCACGAAAGCGUGGGGAGCAAACAGGAUUAGAUACCCUGGUAGUCCACGCAGUAAACGAUGAUAACUCGUUGUCGGCGAUACAGUGUCGGUGACUAAGCGAAAGCGAUAAGUUAUCCACCUGGGGAGUACGUUCGCAAGAAUGAAACUCAAAGGAAUUGACGGGGGCCCGCACAAGCGGAGGAACAUGUGGUUUAAUUCGAUGAUACGCGAGGAACCUUACCCGGGCUUGAAAGUUAGUGACGGAUCUUGAAAGAGGUCUUCCCUUCGGGGCACGAAACUAGGUGCUGCAUGGUUGUCGUCAGCUCGUGCCGUGAGGUGUCGGGUUAAGUCCCAUAACGAGCGCAACCCCUACCGUUAGUUGCCAGCAGGUCAAGCUGGGCACUCUGACGGGACUGCCGGUGUAAGCCGAGAGGAAGGUGGGGAUGACGUCAAAUCAGCACGGCCCUUACGUCCGGGGCUACACACGUGUUACAAUGGCAGGUACAGAGGGCAGCUACCCAGCGAUGGGAUGCGAAUCUCGAAAGCCUGUCUCAGUUCGGAUUGGAGGCUGAAACCCGCCUCCAUGAAGUUGGAUUCGCUAGUAAUCGCGCAUCAGCCAUGGCGCGGUGAAUACGUUCCCGGGCCUUGCACACACCGCCCGUCA